rnacentral:lncRNA from 1 species
GGUGUAGUAAUCUCCUCCUUAGUAGCCUCUUCUCCCAAACUAGGGAGACGAUGCUGCUCAGAUCUAAGUCUGGAUAUAACUUUUCGAUCGCAUCUCCGCCGUCUUUGUAUCCGAUGCAGUAGGAGGUGAAUCCACCUUCGAGAAUUUCAUCCAUGUACUCCUGUGAUUCUUUGAAAUUUUCAAUGGCCAAACUCAAAGCACUUUUUGCCGACUUUACUUCUUCUCUGGUGGAAGCCAACUCUGCAUCAGCCAGUGCCAACUUCUCUUGAGUGGCCCGAUGCCUUCCAUGCUCCGCCUCAAGUUCUUCAAUACAUCCG